UGCCAGGGUGAUUUCAUCGUUCCAGGGUGUGAAGCUGCUUGGUUUAGGUCUGUUUUUCUCUUAUACAUUAAAUAUCAAACAAUAACCUGCUUUGCAGUAAUUUGUGACCAGAUCACCCUGAACUGCUGCCAUCUCGGGGUGAGAAGUCUGACUUGUCCUUUUGGCCAAAGCAGGAACAUUCCAGGCUUUUACUGGACCUGGUAACUGGGGAUGAAUCCUUCUGUAACCAGAGCUGGUUUUAAAUCCUGAGUACCCCUUUCACAAAGAGAGGACUUAUUUCAAAGCCUGUGAACUGAGGAGAGGAGGCUGCAGGACAGAUCAUGUGAAGGAAACUCGCUUUGCCAAAGAACCUUCCCUGAAUUUCUUCACAUAGAUUAAUGCCCAUCCUUCCCCUUGAAUUAAGGUAUAAAGGGCACUGAUGGAGCUUCAUCAUCAAGAUCUAGGAAGACAAGAGGAGGAGAUGAGUGAGGAUGCACACACAGUUUACUGAAUAUUAAGAGGGAGAAGAUCCAGUAAAAGUAGUAAAGGUAGGUAUAAUUU